GACGAACGCUGGCGGCGUGCUUAACACAUGCAAGUCGAACGGAAAGGCCUGCUUUCCCUUGUGGAUUGCGGGUACUCGAGUGGCGAACGGGUGAGUAACACGUGAGUGAUCUGCCCCCAACUUGGGUAUAAGCCUGGGAAACUGGGUCUAAUUCCCGAUAGGACUGCAGGGUGGUGCCUGUGGUGGAAAACGAUUUUCUAGUGGUUGGGGAUGAGCUCGCGGCCUAUCAGCUUGUUGGUGGGGUAAUGGCCUACCAAGGCGGCGACGGGUAGCCGGCCUGAGAGUGUGGACGGCCACAUUGGGACUGAGAUACGGCCCAGACUCCUACGGGAGGCAGCAGUGGGGAAUAUUACACAAUGGGCGGAAGCCUGAUGCAGCGACGCCGCGUGGGGGAUGACGGCCUUCGGGUUGUAAACUCCUUUCGACCGCGAGGAAGCCACCUGGUUGGAAGGGUGGUGACGGUAGUGGUAGAAGAAGCACCGGCUAACUACGUG
rnacentral:rRNA from 1 species